CCACGCGGGCAGGCAAACGAUAUGUUCACUAUAUAAAGCCGACAGAGGCCAAUGCUUUAUCGACUGUUAUGAAUACAGCGGCAUUCAGGUCAGAAGUGCCAUCUACGUCCUUCAUCACAAAAAAGUCAGGGUAUUUUUAUUUCAUAAACUCGGAUUUUUAGUUAAAAGGAAAUACACACUAUUCAGGACAAUGGUGACAUACGGAUCCUUUCUAGCAUUUGUCUUUUUCCUGGGAAUCAUUACGGAAUAUGGUGCUUUAUGCAAACCGGACAAAAAGGAGGUUCCUAUGGCACAGGCGCAUAUUCAGGCACAAGAGAUUCCCGAGGCACUAAUCGCCAAACGAGGCCAAUUUCGUUCACUCUUCAAGAAAGAUCCUUGGAUGAUUGAUUGGAGACGAAUCUUUAAAUGAGCUAUUACCUUAAUAGAAACCAAUGGUUUUCAUUACCAAAAAAAACCCCAACAUAUUUGUAAUUUUUGCAGGUUCUUGAUGUAUAAGUUAAACGCGACUUGUAUUUUUAUCCCAAACUUUUGAAAUAAAUUGAAGUUAGUUCUGAA